rnacentral:rRNA from 1 species
AAUUGGGUAGUCCGCACGAGCGCACCUUGAUCCCUAGUUGCCAGCAUUUCGGAUGGGAACUCUAGGGAGACCGCCGGUGACAAACCGGAGGAAGGUGGGGACGACGUCAAGUCAUCAUGGCCCUUAUGGGCAGGGCUACACACGUGCUACAAUGGUCGGUACAGAGGGUUGCCAAGCCGCAAGGUGGAGCCAAUCUCAGAAAGCCUAUCGUAGUCCGGAUCGGAGUCUGCAACUCGACUUCGUGAAGUCGGAAUCGCUAGUAAUCGCGAAUCAGCAACGUCGCGGUGAAUACAUUCCCGGGUCUUGUACACACCGCCCGUCACACCAUGGAAGUUGGUUGCACCAGAAGUCGGUAGCUUAACCCUCGGGAGGGCGCCGCCCACGGUGUGGCUAAUGACUGGGGUGAAGUCGUAACAAGGUAGCCGUACGGGAACGUGCGGCUGGAUCACCUCCUUUU